UCAAAUGCAAGAGGUUGCCUUUCUCCUCUUUUAACCCAAAAUGGAGGUGGGGGGAUGAAUGGGAAGAACGGGAAAUCUGCUCAUUCCAGUGUGUCAGACCCGAGGGCCGCACCCGCCACACUGACCCGAAAUGGACGCAGCCUGACCGCCGGCGAGGGAAGCGAAGCCGACAGCUACAGUCCUGGAGGCUCGGGCCGCGGCGGGUGCUGCUCUGCGUAGAGCCUGGAAGAGCCUGUCCUGCUCACUAACGACCCCCCUGUGUCCCCCCAAACAGCCUGGCCGGCGAAGCGCGCAGCCCAUAGGACUGUGCCCGCCAAUCCAAGCCCGCAGUGGCUUUCGAAUACAUCAUAAUUUGGAAUAAAAUGUGAAAUCCCUCUCCCCGCCCCCAG